AGGAAUACAUCGGAAUCUGCCUUGUUGUGGGGGAUAACGUAGGGAAACUUACGCUAAUACCGCAUAAGACCUUAGGGUGAAAGCGGAGGACCUUCGGGCUUCGCGCGACAAGAUGAGCCGAUGUCGGAUUAGCUAGUUGGCGGGGUAAUGGCCCACCAAGGCGACGAUCCGUAGCUGGUCUGAGAGGAUGAUCAGCCACACUGGAACUGAGACACGGUCCAG
rnacentral:rRNA from 1 species